AUCCUCCAAGGCUAAAUACUCCUGACUGACCGAUAGUGAACCAGUACCGUGAGGGAAAGGCGAAAAGAACCCCGGCGAGGGGAGUGAAAAAGAACCUGAAACCGUGUACGUACAAGCAGUGGGAGCCCCACCACUAAGCCAGUGGUGAACUCCACAUACGCAUCCUUUGCUGAGGAUACGGUUAACGGAGCGAAAGCGACGUUCAACCUCAAAAGAAGCAGAGGGGGCUUAGUGGUGGGGUGACUGCGUACCUUUUGUAUAAUGGGUCAGCGACUUAUAUUCUGUAGCAAGGUUAACCGAAUAGGGGAGCCGGAGGGAAACCGAGUCUUAAUUGGGCGUUAAGUUGCAGGGUAUAGACCCGAAACCCGGUGAUCUAGCCAUGGGCAGGUUGAAGGUUGGGUAACACUAACUGGAGGACCGAACCGAC
rnacentral:rRNA from 1 species